AGGGAUAUAACUCAGUGGUAGAGUGUCACCUUGACGUGGUGGAAGUCAUCAGUUAGCCUGAUUAUCCCUA
rnacentral:tRNA from 1 species